rnacentral:rRNA from 1 species
GCCGGCGACCGGCGCACGGGUGAGUAACGCGUAUGCAACUUGCCUAUCAGAGGGGGAUAACCCGGCGAAAGUCGGACUAAUACCGCAUGAAGCAGGGAUCCCGCAUGGGAAUAUUUGCUAAAGAUUCAUCGCUGAUAGAUAGGCAUGCGUUCCAUUAGGCAGUUGGCGGGGUAACGGCCCACCAAACCGACGAUGGAUAGGGGUUCUGAGAGGAAGGUCCCCCACAUUGGUACUGAGACACGGACCAAACUCCUACGGGAGGCAGCAGUGAGGAAUAUUGGUCAAUGGCCGAGAGGCUGAACCAGCCAAGUCGCGUGAGGGAUGAAGGUUCUAUGGAUCGUAAACCUCUUUUAUAAGGGAAUAAAGUGCGGGACGUGUCCCGUUUUGUAUGUACCUUAUGAAUAAGGAUCGGCUAACUCCGUGCCAGCAGCCGCGGUAAUACGGAGGAUCCGAGCGUUAUCCGGAUUUAUUGGGUUUAAAGGGUGCGUAGGCGGCCCCUUAAGUCAGCGGUGAAAGUCUGUGGCUCAACCAUAGAAUUGCCGUUGAAACUGGGAGGCUUGAGUAUGUUUGAGGCAGGUGGAAUGCGUGGUGUAGCGGUGAAAUGCAUAGAUAUCACGCAGAACCCCGAUUGCGAAGGCAGC